AGAGUUUGAUCCUGGCUCAGAUUGAACGCUGGCGGCAUGCCUUACACAUGCAAGUCGAACGGCAGCGGACCUUCGGGUGCCGGCGAGUGGCGAACGGGUGAGUAAUAUAUCGGAACGUGCCUUUCAGUGGGGGAUAACGUAGCGAAAGUUACGCUAAUACCGCAUAUUCUCUGAGGAGGAAAGCAGGGGACCUUCGGGCCUUGCGCUGAUAGAGCGGCCGAUAUCAGAUUAGCUAGUUGGUGGGGUAAAGGCCUACCAAGGCGACGAUCAGUAGCGGGUCUGAGAGGAUGAUCCGCCACACUGGGACUGAGACACGGCCCAGACUCCUACGGGAGGCAGCAGUGGGGAAUUUUGGACAAUGGGCGAAAGCCUGAUCCAGCCAUGCCGCGUGAGUGAAGAAGGCCUUCGGGUUGUAAAGCUCUUUCGGCCGGGAAGAAAUCGCACAGGCUAAUACCUUGUGUGGAUGACGGUACCGGAAUAAGAAGCACCGGCUAACUACGUGCCAGCAGCCGCGGUAAUACGUAGGGUGCGAGCGUUAAUCGGAAUUACUGGGCGUAAAGCGUGCGCAGGCGGUUUGGUAAGACAGGCGUGAAAUCCCCGGGCUCAACCUGGGAACUGCGCUUGUGACUGCCUCACUAGAGUACGGCAGAGGGGGGUGGAAUUCCACGUGUAGCAGUGAAAUGCGUAGAGAUGUGGAGGAACACCGAUGGCGAAGGCAGCCCCCUGGGCCGAUACUGACGCUCAUGCACGAAAGCGUGGGUAGCAAACAGGAUUAGAUACCCUGGUAGUCCACGCCCUAAACGAUGUCAACUAGUUGUUGGGGGGGUAAAACCCUUUAGUAACGUAGCUAACGCGUGAAGUUGACCGCCUGGGGAGUACGGCCGCAAGGUUAAAACUCAAAGGAAUUGACGG
rnacentral:rRNA from 1 species